UUUUUUCUUUUUAAUUUUUUUUCUCGUUUUUUGUGUUACGCACGAUACUCAUUCGUUAGAUAACGUGAGGGGAUCGGGCGCAGCUAUAUACCGCGAGGUACACGCAUACCGCAGCCUGCACGGGUAUAGCUGCCGAUCGCUUAAAAGCUGUGAAGGUCCUGCGUAUGCUAGAAGCUCGCCUCAAAGACUGCGAACCUUCGAGUCCGUGCACCGAGCCACUCAGAGCACUGGAAACUCCGGCUCCGCGAGCGCAUACGAACAGUCUAUUAACAUCCUCCCUGAAAUGAUAUAAGUACAUCCCUCGUUAGAA
rnacentral:misc_RNA from 1 species